rnacentral:rRNA from 1 species
UACGUAGGGUGCGAGCGUUGUCCGGAAUUAUUGGGCGUAAAGGGCUCGUAGGCGGUUUGUCGCGUCGGGAGUGAAAUCCACUGGCUUAACUGGUGGCUUGCUUUCGAUACGGGCAGACUGGAGGUAUGCAGGGGAGAACGGAAUUCCUGGUGUAGCGGUGAAAUGCGCAGAUAUCACUUGGAACGCCAAUGGUGAGGACAGCUCGCUGGGGGUGUCCUGACGCUGAGGCGCGAAAGCCAGGGGAGCGAACGGG